GACGAACGCUGGCGGCGUGCCUAAUACAUGCAAGUCGAACGCACAGUUUAUACCGUAGCUUGCUACACCAUAGACUGUGAGUUGCGAACGGGUGAGUAACGCGUAGGUAACCUGCCUGGUAGCGGGGGAUAACUAUUGGAAACGAUAGCUAAUACCGCAUAAUAUUCAUUAUUGCAUGAUAAUUAAUUGAAAGGUGCAAUUGCACCACUACCAGAUGGACCUGCGUUGUAUUAGCUAGUAGGUGAGGUAACGGCUCACCUAGGCGACGAUACAUAGCCGAACUGAGAGGGUGAUCGGCCACACUGGGACUGAGACACGGCCCAGACUCCUACGGGAGGCAGCAGUAGGGAAUCUUCGGCAAUGGACGAAAGUCUGACCGAGCAACGCCGCGGGAGUGAAGAAGGUUGUCGGAUCGUAAAGCUCUGUUGUAAGAGAAGAACGGGUGUGAGAGUGGAAAGUUCACACUGUGACGGUAGCUGACCAGAAAGGGACGGCUAACUACGUG
rnacentral:rRNA from 1 species